ACCCAGGGGGGACGCCAAGGGAGCAGGACGGAGCCAUGGACCCCGCCAGGAAAGCAGGUGCCCAGGCCAUGAUCUGGACUGCAGGCUGGCUGCUGCUGCUGCUGCUUCGCGGAGGAGCGCAGGCCCUGGAGUGCUACAGCUGCGUGCAGAAAGCAGAUGACGGAUGCUCCCCGAACAAGAUGAAGACAGUGAAGUGCGCGCCGGGCGUGGACGUCUGCACCGAGGCCGUGGGGGCGGUGGAGACCAUCCACGGACAAUUCUCGCUGGCAGUGCGGGGUUGCGGUUCGGGACUCCCCGGCAAGAAUGACCGCGGCCUGGAUCUUCACGGGCUUCUGGCGUUCAUCCAGCUGCAGCAAUGCGCUCAGGAUCGCUGCAACGCCAAGCUCAACCUCACCUCGCGGGCGCUCGACCCGGCAGGUCCGUGGGGGCGGGGCCGUAGCUGCGGGGGCGGAGCCACAUUCGGGCCUGCCAAGAUGGAGGUGGAGCCGUGGCAGAGGCGGGAGUACUCGACCUGGGCUGGGGGUGGGGUCACACUCUGGGGCGGGGCCAAGAGGCAGCAGGAGGGACUUUCUGGCUGUAGGCGCCGCGAGGUUGCGCGCUGGGGCGGGGCUACUAGUAGGCGGGGUCAUCGAUAGUGCGGGGGCCAGGCCUUAGGGGCGGGGCUAGAGGACGAGCUGCGGUUCCCGAACCUUUUUGACACCUUUUCUUCCUCUCGGCUCCCCUCGCAGGUAAUGAGAGUGCAUACCCGCCCAACGGCGUGGAGUGCUACAGCUGUGUGGGCCUGAGCCGGGAGGCGUGCCAGGGUACAUCGCCGCCGGUCGUGAGCUGCUACAACGCCAGCGAUCAUGUCUACAAGGGCUGCUUCGACGGCAACGUCACCUUGACGGCAGCUAAUGUGACUGUGUCCUUGCCUGUCCGGGGCUGUGUCCAGGAUGAAUUCUGCACUCGGGAUGGAGUAACAGGCCCAGGGUUUACGCUCAGUGGCUCCUGUUGCCAGGGGUCCCGCUGUAACUCUGAUCUCCGCAACAAGACCUACUUCUCCCCUCGAAUCCCACCCCUUGUCCGGCUGCCCCCUCCAGAGCCCACGACUGUGGCCUCAACCAUAUCUGUGGCCUCAACCACAUCUGUCACCACUUCUACCUCGGCCCCAGUGAGACCCACAUCCACCACCAAACCCAUGCCAGCGCCAACCAGUCAGACUCCGAGACAGGGAGUAGAACACGAGGCCUCCCGGGAUGAGGAGCCCAGGUUGACUGGAGGCGCUGCUGGCCACCAGGACCGCAGCAAUUCAGGGCAGUAUCCUGCAAAAGGGG
rnacentral:sRNA from 1 species